GCCGGGUGUGGUGGCGCAGACCUGUAAUCCCAGCUACUCGGGAGGCUGAGGCAGGAGAAUCGCUUGAACCCGGGAGGCGGAGGUUGCAGUGAGCCGAGAUAGUGCCACUGCACUCCACCCUGAGCAACAGAGCGAGACUCUGUCUCAA
rfam:Macaca mulatta chromosome 16, whole genome shotgun sequence.